UUUCCUGCCACUGGGUCUCUAACAGAGCACGGAGAGGUAUCAGGCAUCCACAGCCCCUUUCCACUCGGCUCUGGGGGUGUGUGUGGGUGGGGAGCUGUGUCUGGAUGUGUGUCUGUCCGUGGACGUGCACGGCUGUGGGCGCACGGCGGGAGCUGCAUGGAUCUGAUCUGUGGUGACUGGCCCCACUGACCUGUCCAGAGUUUAGACUCUGUCUGUUUAUUUCUGCUAUCAUUAUCUCUCCCUCCUUUUCCCUCACAUAUAGAGACAACCAAGCACACCUACGGACAAUUUUAGAGUUACCAAUUAACCUCAGCAUAUUUUUGGACUGUGGGAGGAAGCUGGAGUACCCGAAGAAAACCCAUGUGUGCACAGGAAGAGCCUGAAAACUCCACGCAGAAAGAACCCAGGAAGGCCGCAAUGCAAACCAGGGAUCUUCUAGCUACAAGGCGAAAGUGCUAACCACCAAUCCACUGUGCAGCGUUGAAAAUCUCUCAUAAUAUUCCUGAGUGAACAUCUGAAAGUGUCGCCUCACAGCCACAUUAUUCAGACCAGUUGCCCAUCACAUCGACAUCUGCUGUGUUACAAUUUCUCCAUUCAUUUCUUAAGCCAGAUCAAAACAAUAACAUUCAGCUUUCCUGAAUUUUGGCAAUGGUGGUAAUGUAUGUCUGUCAUUAAAUGCAGGUCCAACAAUCUAACCUCAAAAUGCAAAGGUUUGUGAAUGUUUGCAUUUCUUUGUGUUUCUGGCUGAUUCAAAGGUGCAAACAAGUCAAAUUAUACUGAGCUACACAAACUGGGCCUGGAAUCAAGUUUGUUUUGACUGCACCCUUUGGCUUUUGUGCUGGUGGAAUAACAAACCUGUGUGUAAUUUUUGUUCAAAAAAUGUCCUGGUUUAUUUGUAAAUUAACAGUGUAAGCCUGGAGGUGAAAAUGAAUCAAAUGAAAGAUAAUGGAAAAUGAGAAAAGGGAACUUUAGUUGAUGUUUGCUCUACUUCAUAAUCUACACUAAAUACAUUUUGGAACCACUUAGGCCAGGGUGUGGCAAAGCAUCGCACCACUCCAGACUGCCAUAAACCACAGAUGUUUUCUCAUUGUAAUUUGAACCCAUCCCAAGAGCUGCUCCCUGCUCCCACUACACAUCUUGUCUUAUAAAAUGUCAAACAGGAUUUGACUAUGUCUGUUAAGAAUUUAUGUGUCAUGGUACAGGAAUUUAUUCUGCUGUUUUACAUAAAUUGACAGUAUGUUAUAAAAUCUAGAAAUUAACUGCCAGAGUCUUGAGUCAGGAAGUUUGAGUCAAACUUUAGUGAAAAAUGCAGACUUGAGAACCAAUUUGUGAGUGUUUUAGAUUAGAUUUACUUUAGACUUCCCACAGAUCCAACCUGAAAGGCAGAAGUCGGUUAUUUCUGACAGCAGCAGGCAGGUCGUCUUGUAUUUCGUAACCUCUUGGCCUUUAACCCAGUUAAGAAAAUCGUUGACCAAAAGAACGGGCUCAGUGUUUUCUCCCUGAUUGUCACAUUUUGAGUAAUGUUGUCUCAGUGUUUGCCAUAAGACUUAUUAGCUAGUUUCAGCUUUAAAUUACGCAUAGCUUUUCCUUCAAUUCAUUCAUUUCAGCAGUUACACUGAGAAAUAGCAUGUUACUUUUAGUGCAAUGCUCACUGUAACACUUGUCCAUUGGCUGCAUGAUACACCUAGUGUUUGAUUGUUAUGUCCUGGCAGACUUUGCACGCACAGCCUACACUCUAUUGGUUGACCAGUGCUGGUUGACCGUACAGGUUUCCAUCCUCCCAUAAAAACUGACCCGAUAGAUCAUUUGUACAGCCUGCUUAUUACUACCUGUAGUUACAUUAUAUUGUGACAGCACCACCCUAGAGGAUGUAGUACUUAUGAUAGGAGCAAGGGAAAAAGUGAUGCGAUGCGGUUAUUCAAAUACAAGGUCAACACUAGAAAAGUACUCAGAGAGCGCAGUAUUCCGCCAAUAUAGAAUGUGGCAAUUUAAUAUAGAUGUACCCACAAACAAAAUGUCCUUGUGCUGAGCACAGUUGUGUGUUAUUCAUCUGUAUGUAAUGAAUAGAUAACAAAUAGCAUGACUUCAAUAUGUGGCGGGCGGCGGAAAUUGAGAGUACUCGGAAACACCCCCAUGAUGUAAUCAAAUGUUCCUUGUAUCGUUACUGAUGGAUAAGUCCUGAUAAGUCCGUAGCAGGUGAUUUGUAGCAGGAUCACAAUCAUGUGAUCAUCAGGCGCUAUCUCGCAAUGAUACAGAAAUCUUUAGCGAAUCCGUGGUUCCAGACUAUAAUCUGCAUCACUGAAAAAAAUGUAAUCACUCGGUCCUUGUGUCAUUUCUGACCUUCCCUGAAAAUUUCAUCCAAAUCCGUUGGUCUGUUUUUGAGUAAUGUUGUGAACAGACAAAGAGAUGGACAGACAGACGGACGAAUGUACACUGAUUGUCAUUCCUUGGCAGAGUACUAAGAAGGAAGUUGGGGGUGUUUCGAUGGGUCAACUAAAUAUUAGACUUUAACAUUGGAGAUCUCCGUAUGUUUGUCAGUGUUGCUUUUAUCCAUGGCUGUUCAAUAACCUUCACAGCAUGUUUAUUUGACAACAAAGAACUGCUGUUUGUUUCUUGUUUCAAACUGAAAGCUGACAUUUUUUUUAAAACCAUAACCACUGCAUAACCCUCAAUGCAGGUUAAAGAAUUUGUUCUUUUCUUUUGCAUAUGAACAAAUCUGGCUUUUAAAGGUUGUUGCAACAUUUUUUGGAGUUCUCGCAAACAAUGUCUAUACAUUUACUAACUGAUGGCAAAACAAAAAUAAUCAGAUUACCAUCUGCAUUUUGCACAAUCUUCCAAAUUUCCAGAAAAAUCUGCAAAAGAAUUGCCAGUUUAAGUGACUGUUGACUAACUUUAUGUGAAUUUAAAGAUCAGCAAUUACAGUUUUUGUCAGAUUCAGUGAAUGUCUUCUUGUGAUCCAUUAAAUGUAUUUUCUGUA